rnacentral:rRNA from 1 species
UACGUAGGGGGCAAGCGUUGUCCGGAUUUAUUGGGCGUAAAGAGCGUGUAGGCGGCCAGGUAGGUCAGCUGUGAAAACUCGAGGCUCAACCUCGAGACGUCGGUGAAACCACCUGGCUAGAGUCCGGAAGAGGAGAGUGGAAUUCCUGGUGUAGCGGUGAAAUGCGCAGAUAUCAGGAAGAACACCCGUGGCGAAGGCGGCUCUCUGGGACGGUACUGACGCUGAGACGCGAAAGCGUGGGGAGCAAACAGG